GCAGAGUAAGCCAGGCUGGGUUCCUUCCUUUGGCGAUCCUAAAUGCAGAACAGGGUGAGUAUGGGAAACACAGAGAAGGAAGGAGCAUCAGACUAAGACACGGAGACAAGACACAGGAUUUGGAGGGUCUUGACAUGACUUCACAAAAAAUAAAGCAACUCUCAAGGUUCAAGCACGACCUGUGGGACCCAUAUGGACGAAUUCUGAUUUCCAAUUUGGAGCCAAAAAGUGUGAUACUGUGCUCUGAUGAAACCUGGACUCUCCUUGUGGGCAGAGACAACAUGCUACGCUUCUGAGUAGAAGCUUCAAGAGCCAGUACAAGAUUCAACAAAUUUGCUCUUCCUUCUGCCAUCACAAUCAGCUAGAAGUCUUCCCCAUGGGGCACCAGGGUGGCUCAGUGGGUUAAACACAUGACCCCUCAGUGGGGUCAUAAGCAUGACCCCUUUCUGCUGGGGUCAUGAUCCCUGGGUCCUGGGACCAAGCCCCUCAUCAGGCUCCCUGCUCAAUGGGGAGUCUGCUUCUC